UUCUGGUUAGCUCAGGUGGUAGAGCGCUCCACUGGAAAUGGAGAGGUCCGUUCGAUACCAGGAG
rnacentral:tRNA from 1 species